AGCAGCCGCGGUAAUUCCAGCUCCAAUAGCGUAUAUUAAAGUUGUUGCAGUUAAAAAGCUCGUAGUUGAAUUUCGGGAUUGGCGCAUCGGUCGUGCCUCACGGGGUAUGAACUGGUGCAGUCAAUUUCUCACCUUCUGGAGAACCGCGAUGUCCUUAAUUGGAUGCCGCGGGGAACCAGGACCUUUACUUUGAAAAAUUAGAGUGUUUAAAGCAGGCAUUUUUGCUUGAAUACAUUAGCAUGGAAUAAUAAAAUAGGACGGCAUGGUUCUAUUUUGUUGGUUUCUAGGACCACCGUAAUGAUUAAUAGGGAUAGUUGGGGGCAUUAGUAUUCAAUUGUCAGAGGUGAAAUUCUUGGAUUUAUUGAAGACUAACUACUGCGAAAGCAUUUGCCAAGGAUGUUUUCAUUAAUCAAGAACGAAAGUUAGGGGAUCGAAGACGAUCAGAUACCGUCGUAGUCUUAAACCAUAAACUAUGCCGACUAGGAAUCAGACGAUGUUAAUUUUUAAUUGACUCGUUUGG
rnacentral:misc_RNA from 1 species